rnacentral:rRNA from 1 species
GACGUCCUACGGGAGGCAGCAGUGGGGGAUAUUGCACAAUGGGGGAAACCCUGAUGCAGCGACGCCGCGUGAGUGAAGAAGUAUUUCGGUAUGUAAAGCUCUAUCGGCAGGGAAGAAAAAAAUGACAGUACCUGACUAAGAAGCCCCGGCUAACUACGUGCCAGCAGCCGCGGUAAUACGUAGGGGGCAAGCGUUAUCCGGAUUUACUGGGUGUAAAGGGAGCGUAGACGGUUGUAUAAGUCUGGAGUGAAAGCCCGGGGCC